rnacentral:rRNA from 1 species
ACGCUCGACACCUACGUGAGGCAGCAGUGGGGAAUAUUGCACAAUGGGGGAAACCCUGAUGCAGCGACGCCGCGUGAAGGAAGAAGUAUUUCGGUAUGUAAACUUCUAUCAGCAGGGAAGAAAAUGACGGUACCUGACUAAGAAGCCCCGGCUAACUACGUGCCAGGAGCCGCGGUAAUCUGAGCGGGCUGGCAAGGC